UGUGCAUUACUGUCCAGCUGGUUUUCACACUAUAAAACAACUCAGAUUUCUUCGAGAAGCUGAAAUCUUCUUUUAACCUCUGCGGAAAGGUUGAAACGUUGUACAUACGUUCAUUGAUAGAGUUAUACACCGGUAUGAUGCAGCUGUGUGAUUUUCAUUUACAGAAACAAGGUCUUAAACCAUAACUGAAAUACAUGAUGCCAUGGAGUUUUUGCACAUUGAAGUCGAGAGAGGGGGGGGAGGACGCAAGAGACGAUGAUAUGAAGAGGCGGCGAAGAGAUAGGGAAUGAAGGAGAGAAGAGGAAAGAGAAAGGAUAAGGGCUCCUGUGCGAAGGAGAAGGGUCGAGGAUGAACGGCCUGAAGAAGAGAACGUUGUGCAACCGCGCCCACUACCGCGCCAACCCUUACGUCAACCUCCAGGUCGACCCAGGAAAUGUUACAACUACGGAGCUAUGGGCCAUAUCCAAGCUCGGUGUGGACGACGUAGACGUCGUGAAAGGAAACCACACGGCGGGGACAGUGACGUUAGAGAAAAUGAAAUACAAUACCACUUUCACGGCACUGUCAAAAACCUUCAAAAAUUGAAAUAAAGUGUGGUAUAAAAUUGAAA